UACGUAGGGGGCAAGCGUUGUCCGGAUUCAUUGGGCGUAAAGAGCGUGUAGGCGGCCAGGUAGGUCGGUUGUGAAAACUGGAGGCUCAACCUUCAGACGUCGACCGAAACCAUCUGGCUAGAGUCCGGGAGAGGAGAGUGGAAUUCCUGGUGUAGCGGUGAAAUGCGCAGAUAUCAGGAAGAACACCCGUGGCGAAAGCGGCUCUCUGGACAGGUACUGACGCUGAGACGCGAAAGCGUGGGGAGCGAACAGG
rnacentral:rRNA from 1 species